AACUGAUACUACCUGCGGGAACCUGCGGAAGGAUCAUUACAGGACUCGCAAGACUCCUUAAACCCCUGUGAACUUACUGUUUAUACGUUGCUUCGGCGGGUGCUCCGGGGUCCGCCCCGGGGCGCUGCGCCCGCCGGCAGCCUACUUAAUUCUGUUUCUCUGCGUUGGCAUCUCGAGUAAGCAAAAUAAGUUAAAACUUUCAACAACGGAUCUCU
rnacentral:misc_RNA from 1 species